CAUCGCCGCUCAAGCCUGAACUGGCUUGGUGUUGGGGCUCGCGGGUUAGCCCGCGGCCCUCAAAUACAGUGGCGGCCCCUCUUGGGAACCUCAGCGCAGUAGCAUUUGCUCGCUUCGGGAUUCGAGAGGGUGCUGGCCGUAAAGCAGCGAUCGUCUCGAUCACUAUUUCACACCC
rnacentral:misc_RNA from 1 species